AGGAUGAACGCUGGCGGCGUGCCUCAAACAUGCAAGUCGAGCGAGGCUAUGAAUUACCGCAAGGUAAGGCAUAGCCUAGCGGCGAACGGGUGAGUAACACGUGGGUAACCUACCUGGAAGACAGGGAUAACGAUUCGAAAGGGUCGCUAAUACCUGAUAAUAUCCAUCUGCCGGAUGGCGGAGGGAAGAAAGGGGAAACCCGCUUUCAGAUGGGCCCGCGUCCCAUCAGCUAGUUGGUAAGGUAAAGGCUUACCAAGGCGACGACGGGUAGCCGGUCUGAGAGGAUGUACGGCCACACUGGGACUGAGAUACGGCCCAGACUCCUACGGGAGGCAGCAGUUGGGAAUCUUAGGCAAUGGACGAAAGUCUGACCUAGCGACGCCGCGUGAGGGAAGAAGGCCUUCGGGUUGUAAACCUCUGUCAUGGGGGAAGAAGGAAGUGACGGUACCCCAAGAGGAAGCCCCUGCUAACUACGUG
rnacentral:rRNA from 1 species